rnacentral:rRNA from 1 species
CGCACGGGUGAGUAACGCGUAUGCAACCUACCUAUCAGAGGGGAAUAACCCGGCGAAAGUCGGACUAAUACCGCAUAAAACAGGGGCACCGCAUGGUGAUAUUUGUUAAAGAAAUUCGCUGAUAGAUGGGCAUGCGUUCCAUUAGGUAGUUGGUGAGGUAACGGCUCACCAAGCCGACGAUGGAUAGGGGAACUGAGAGGUUGGUCCCCCACACUGGUACUGAGACACGGACCAGACUCC